UGGAAAUUAAUACUCCCUCUCCCUGGGACACACCCCUGCAGUACAAAUUUUCUUCAUCUGUUUCGACCCUGCCAGCAGUUGCCGGAAGAUGUGUGGAGGUAAAGUAAGUGUGCGCCGUGGUGGGCCAGCAGCCAUGAAGCAGCCAUCUGAGAAAAAGGUGCCCUGGGAACCUUGUGACAGGACCCACAUCAACAGACUAAGAACAAAGAAGUUUCACAAUCUUUCUCAGACCCCUGGUGGCACCCAGAUGUCUGCAGCCGUCAAUCACUUCUUGCUCCUCCUGUUUUCCCCUUCCCUGAUAUAAAAGAAGCCUGAAUUCUGUACUUAAGAUGGUUCUUUAGGAUGCCAGUCCGCCAUCAUCUCGGCUUGCUGGCUUUUGGAAUAAAGUUGCUUUUCUUGCCUCAA